CUGAGAUUGGUUGGAAGUAUAAACAAGCUAGAAGUGAAAAUUGUCCUAUUGACAGCAUUUAAAAUCAUGAACUCAGAAGCAGUACACAGUUUGGCUCCAUGCGACGGGUGUGUGGAGCAUGCUGUUCAUAAUGUGAUUUCAGUGGAAAAGUGGGGUUCAGUGCCAUGUGAGUGCUUGCACAUGAGCAAUAAAGACUAACAAAAGGGGGGAAUCUGUUAAACUGGGG
rnacentral:lncRNA from 1 species